CGCAUCUGUGCAUGCAGCAUAUCAAUAAGCGGAGGAAAAGAAACUAACAAGGAUUCCCCUAGUAACGGCGAGUGAAGCGGGAAGAGCUCAAAUUAGAAAUCUUAAAGGGUUUCCCUUUACGAAUUGUAGUUUAAAGAAGUGUUUUCUGUUGAGGUUUUGGUAAAAGUUCUUUGGAAUAGGACAUCAUAGAGGGUGAGAAUCCCGUAUUCGACCUUUACUUUCAACUUUGUGAUACACUUUCAAAGAGUCGGAUUGUUUGGGAAUGCAGUCCAAAAUGGGUGGUAAAUUUCAUCUAAAGCUAAAUAUUGGCGAGAGACCGAUAGCGAACAAGUACCGUGAGGGAAAGAUGAAAAGAACUUUGAAAAGAGAGUUAAACAGUACGUGAAAUUGUCAAAAGGGAAGCGUUUGACACCAGUGUUGUUUUUCUGAAAAUCAAUUAAAGAACUGUUUAUGCUAAGCUGUUUAGACUUUAUCAGCUAACUGUUUAGUUUUGAGCUUUUCUUUAAUGCACUUUUCAGUUAACAAGUCAACAUCAAUUUCUUUUGCUGUAAAAAAGCUUGAGGAAGGUGGCUUGAGAUUCGUCUUAAGUGUUUAUAGCCUCUUGCCUAUGCAGUCGGAGAGAUUGAGGUCUGCAGCGUAGAUCCUUCGGGGCUAAAUGCAUUUGUGCUAAGUUAUAGCAUUUUAUAGACAACUUGUUGACUAUGAUUUGUCUUGUAGCUUACUCGCUUAUGUUAUUUUACCUACGCUUAGGAUGUUGAGCGCAUGUCUCUCUCU
rnacentral:rRNA from 1 species